rfam:Dipodomys ordii contig_6867, whole genome shotgun sequence.
UGGCUCAGUGGUGGAGUGCUUGCCUUGCAUGCAUGAGGCCCUGGGUUCGAUUCCCCAG